AACUCAUCCUCUGCAAUUUAAAACUCUUAUCUCUACGUGUGCACAAACCUCACCAUUAGAUGAUUAGUAGAAGACAAAACUUACAGCCAAAUUGACAAACUUAUCUCUCUCCAAAACAUUUGGUCCAUACGAUAAAGCAAGAAGAAGAAUUAAUAAAAACAAGAAGAAGAAGAAGACGGAGAGGUAGAGGAUGAAGCAUGAAAUGGUGAACAUCAAGCUACGAUGCAUAUCCAUCUUCUUUCUUCUCUUUGCUUUGCUUCUUGGAAAUUAUGUAGUUCAAGCCUCAAGACCUCGUUCUAUCGAAAAUACGGUCUCACUUCUCUCACAAGUGCAUAUCCUGAAUUCGAGGAGGAAUAUGAUAGGGUCGACGGCACCAACUUGUACGUACAACGAGUGCAGAGGAUGCAGAUACAAAUGCAGAGCUGAGCAAGUCCCAGUCGAAGGCAAUGACCCUAUCAAUAGUGCUUAUCAUUAUAGAUGUGUUUGUCACAGAUAAUAAUGAUAAAUCUUUUAAUUUUUUGCCUUUUCUUUGCAAUUUUUGUAUGACUUGAUUGCAUUUUUGUUUUUUUUUGAAUGAGAUGCUUUGGUCAGCAUUAUUGAUUAUUAGUUUUUUUUUCCUUUUUAACUCUUGAAAUUGUUAAAGUAUUUAGUUCAUUA